CCAGCAGAGAUGUCUUCCCCACGCCACUGUCGCCCACCAGGAUGGUCUGAAGGGAGCAACGGAGAGGCGGGAGCUGCAGUGUGAAGCAGGGCCCACGACCACGCGGACCCCACAUGCAGUGGACUGAUGGGUGCAGGGGAACACGAGCUGAGCCUGCCUGACUCUGAGUUGCACGGCGCGUACACGGCGAGGAAACUCUGGACGCCAGCCGGAUGGAAGCCACAGCCACGCUUCUUCCUUGUGGGACAAAGGGAAAUGAGGCCGUGGAAACUCUGGGAGUUAAUUCCAUGCGAAUAAAAGCCACUCGUUCUCCCAUA